rnacentral:ncRNA from 1 species
UAUCGGUAUGAGUCCUUUCGUGAGGAUAAAGGGAAUUCGGUGGAAGUCCGAAGCGAACCCGUCACUGUAACAGGGAGCAAGGCGCGGUAUGCCAUUGUGAGAUCAUCUUGAAAAGGCGCGCCCGGCUGUGAUCUGGAGCCAGGAAACCUGCUCAUGCUGC